rnacentral:lncRNA from 1 species
GAAGAAGAAAAGCCUUCCUGCUGUAAGGGUCUGAUUUGCUUUUGCAGGAGAAAGCACUACUUCUUCCUGCUGCCAUGUGAAGAAAGACCUGUUUGCUUCCCCUUUCAUCAUGAUUGUAAGUUUCCUGAGGCCUCCCCACCCGUGCAGAACUGACUAGGAAGCCAAAAGUGUCACACGGUCAAAAAUGCUUCCAUCUACUGGUGAAACUCAGGAAUACACUAACAUUUCCCUGCCUGAAAUGGUUAGUUGAGGACACAAAGCAACCCAAAGCGAGCGGAGCUUGGCCAUGGAGCUCAGAAAUUCAAAAUAGUCAGUUCUUGCUGAUGGUGAAG